CCGCGCUUCAGUGCGCCCGUCGCAGCCGCCCGCGCUUCAGUGCGCCCGUCGCAGCCGCCCGCGCUGUUCAGACCCAUACUAUUAGACCCACUGUCCCCUGGCUUUAAGUAAACAAAUUAAGAUUUAUUGUCUUCAGAGUUCAGUCUAUAUACUUCUAGGUCAGGGUUCAGCAAAGUGUGGCUUGUGGAUCAAAUCGAGCCUGAUACCUGUUUUUAUCAAUGCAGCUUCAUUGGAACACAGCCACACCAGUUCAUCCUGGAAGCAGAUGAACAUAAAGACCUGAGAAGACAUUUGUUAAACAUGACCAUGAGAUCGAAGGAAGCUGGGUCCCUGGAUAUUCUCUUAGACGGGAGCCACCCACCACUGAGGAACAUCAGUUUCAGACUUGAACAAGAAAUAAACUUGUAUUUAAGCCACUA